rnacentral:rRNA from 1 species
UGCCCAGACUCCUACGGGAGGCAGCAGUGAGGAAUAUUGGUCAAUGGGCGAGAGCCUGAACCAGCCAAGUCGCGUGAGGGAAGACGGUCCUAUGGAUUGUAAACCUCUUUUGCCGGGGAGCAAAAAGCGGUACGCGUACCGCAUCGAGAGUACCCGGAGAAAAAGCAUCGGCUAACUCCGUGCCAGCAGCCGCGGUAAUACGGAGGAUGCGAGCGUUAUCCGGAUUUAUUGGGUUUAAAGGGUGCGUAGGGGGUUAAUUAAGUCAGCGGUGAAAGUUUGUGGCUCAACCAUAAAAUUGCCGUUGAAACUGGUUGACUUGAGUAUAUUUGAGGUAGGCGGAAUGCGUGGUGUAGCGGUGAAAUGCAUAGAUAUCACGCAGAACUCCGAUUGCGAAGGCAGCUUACUAAACUAUAACUGACACUGAAGCACGAAAGCGUGGGGAUCAAACAGGAUUAGAUACCCGCGUAAC